UUGAACAUCUUCCUCAACAUCCUGUGUUUAGAAGAGACUGAACAAGAAUGGCAAAACAACCAUAUUCAUAGACAUAAAGAUCUUACUGAAGGAAAAGGAGACUCCAACUUGAGAUCCAGGAGAAGGGAGCAUCCGUGCAGAACUGCAAAUGGCCCAAUACUUGGACAGAACAGCAGAGACUUCCUCCUUUGGUCUGCUUGCAGCUGUUCCCUGCCCUCCGGCGUGUCCACUUCUCCCCACAGUUUUGUGUCAUCCGCAAACUUGGACAGAGUACACUUCACUCCCUCGUCCAAGUCUCUGAUGAAGACAUUAAAGAGUAUCGGUCCAAGGACCAAGCCCUGCGGGACCCCACUGCCCACACCCUUCCAGGUCGAAACUGACCUAUCCACCACGACUGUCUGGGUGCGACCUUCUAGUGAAUUCACCACCCACUGGACUGUGUAGUCAUCCAAGUCACAGCCUCUUAACUUGUUCACCAGUAUGGGGUGGGAUACCAUAUCGAAGGCCUUCCUGAAGUCUAAGUAUAUGACAUCCACCCCUACUCCUGUGUCCAGGCGUUUCGUAACCUGGUCAUAAAAAGAGACUAGAUUAGUCAGGCAUGAUCUGCCUGCCACGAACCCGUGCUGGUUUCCCCUCAGCAUAAUUUGUCCUGCCGGGCUCUCGCAAGUGUGAGCCUUGAUAAUUUUUUCAAAGACAUCUACAAUCAGGUGCAAAGAAGAUAGCGAGAAGAAGGAAAUUUGCAUAUCCUGCCAUUUGAACUACACAAUGCUUCAAGGCAGAGAUACCAACUACACAAUGCUUCAAGACUGAAAUACCAAAUCUGAGAUACCAACUUUACUGGAAUGACCUCAAGUUGAGAUAACUGGAAGAUGGAUAAGAAACUGAGCAUGGAAAAAGCCCAAUGCUGAACAAAGACUUGAAAUCCCUAUAAAAGUGAUAUGCAGACAAGCCAUGAUGGAGAAUCCAGUGUCUGCAACCUCCUGGAGCACAGGCACAUCUGUUCACCUCCCCACCCCAUUUAUCCCAUCACCCUCAAUGAGCCUGGACUGGCUACCCAGAGCUAACAUUGAGUAACUUCUGCUGAUAAAUAUAACAUCUUACUGGAGUGGUUUUGUCUGUACGUCUGCCUAUGUCUGUUUGCAUGUAUGCUUGUCUAUGUCUGUUGGUAUGACUGGUGUGUCCAAGCUUAUGUAUCUGCUUCAUGUAAUCAAUAAACACAGCAUUUUGCCUUA